rnacentral:misc_RNA from 1 species
GAUGAAGAACGUAGCGAAAUGCGAUAAGUAAUGUGAAUUGCAGAAUUCAGUGAAUCAUCGAAUCUUUGAACGCACAUUGCGCCCCUUGGUAUUCCGAGGGGCAUGCCUGUUCGAGCGUCAUUAUAACCCUCAAGCUCAGCUUGGUGUUGGGGCCUGCUGCACUGGCAGCCCUUAAAAUCAGUGGCGGCGCCAUCUGGCUCUAAUCGUAGUAAUUCUUCUCGCUAUGGAGUCCUGGUGGAUGCUUGCCAUCAACCCCCAAUUUUUCUAUGGUUGACCUCGGAUCAGGUAGGGAUACCCGCUGAACUUAAGCAUAUCAAUAAGCGGAGGA